rnacentral:rRNA from 1 species
GACGAACGCUGGCGGCGUGCUUAACACAUGCAAGUCGAGCGGAAAGGCCAUUUCGGUGGUACUCGAGCGGCGAACGGGUGAGUAACACGUGAGUAAUCUGCCCUUCACUUUGGGAUAACCCCCGGAAACGGGAGCUAAUACCGGAUACGACGCAUCUCCGCAUGGGGUGUGCGUGGAAACUUUUUUGGGUGGGGGAUGUGCUCGCGGCCUAUCAGCUUGUUGGUGGGGUAAUGGCCUACCAAGGCUUUGACGGGUAGCCGGCCUGAGAGGGUGACCGGCCACACUGGGACUGAGACACGGCCCAGACUCCUACGGGAGGCAGCAGUGGGGAAUAUUGGACAAUGGGCGGAAGCCUGAUCCAGCAACGCCGCGUGAGGGAUGACGGCCUUCGGGUUGUAAACCUCUUUCAGCACCGACGAAGCGCAAGUGACGGUAGGUGCAGAAGAAGGACCGGCCAACUACGUGCCAGCCGCCGCCGUAACAC